rnacentral:rRNA from 1 species
UACGAAGGGGGCUAGCGUUGCUCGGAAUCACUGGGCGUACAGCGCACGUAGGCGGAUUGCUAAGUCAGGGGUGAAAUCCUGGAGCUCAACUCCAGAACUGCCUUUGAUACUGGCGAUCUCGAGUCCGGGAGAGGUGAGUGGAACUGCGAGUGUAGAGGUGAAAUUCGUAGAUAUUCGCAAGAACACCAGUGGCGAAGGCGGCUCACUGGCCCGGUACUGACGCUGAGGUGCGAAAGCGUGGGGAGCAAACAGG